rnacentral:rRNA from 1 species
AUUGAACGCUGGCGGCAGGCCUAACACAUGCAAGUCGAACGGUAGCACAGAGAGCUUGCUCUCGGGUGACGAGUGGCGGACGGGUGAGUAACGUCUGGGAAACUGCCCGAUGGAGGGGGAUAACUACUGGAAACGGUAGCUAAUACCGCAUAACGUCGCAAGACCAAAGUGGGGGACCUUCGGGCCUCACACCAUCGGAUGUGCCCAGAUGGGAUUAGCUAGUAGGUGGGGUAAUGGCUCACCUAGGCGACGAUCCCUAGCUGGUCUGAGAGGAUGACCAGCCACACUGGAACUGAGACACGGUCCGGACUCCUACGGGAGGCAGCAGUGGGGAAUAUUGCACAAUGGGCGCAAGCCUGAUGCAGCCAUGCCGCGUGUAUGAAGAAGGCCUUCGGGUUGUAAAGUACUUUCAGCGGGGAGGAAGGCGGUGAAGUUAAUAGCUUCACCGAUUGACGUUACCCGCAGAAGAAGCACCGGCUAACUCCGUGCCAGCCGCCGCGGUAACAC